rnacentral:lncRNA from 1 species
UUCAAGCUACCUUGUCUGGUUUAUUUAUAUUUUAUGUGCCUGAGUGCUUUGCCUUGGUUGCAUGUGUGUGCGUGGAGAGAUGUCUGGUGCCUUCAGAGGUCAGAGAGGGUGUGGGUUCCCCCGAGCUGGACUGACAGGUGGUUAUGAGUGAGGGCAGCCAGUGCUUUAACUACAAGCCCUGUUUGUCUGUUCCCUUGUUUUUGUUUGUUUCGUUCUGUCGUUUUGAUACAGAGUCUCAUUUAGCCUAGGCUGACCUCAAAUGCCUGUGCAGUAGAGGAUGACCUUGAACUUUUGAUCCUCCUUCCAAGUGCAAGGUCACAGGCAUGCACCACCAUGUUCAGUUUAUGUGAUGUUGGGGAUCAAACCUGGGGCCUUUGUGAAUGUUAACAAAGCACUUCAUGGGCAGUCGCGUCCCCAGCCAUCAUUUGGUAAAUUUAUAAAGAACUGAUCAUGGUUUCCCUUUCUCCCUUUAGUAUCUGGUGUCUUUGAUCCAGGACAACUUGGGGUGGAUGUGGGUCUUCUACUUUUUUAUCCUCAUGACAAGUUGCACAAUUCUGUUUAUCUCACCGUUGAUAGUGAGGGAAGUAUUCUCUCUUGUGCAGAGGAGACAAGCGCCCAUACUUAAUGAGUAGCGGGUACCCACAAGAGGGAACGGACUGGAAGCUUAUGAGGGCCCAUAGGUCUUCAGCCCACUCGUGUGGAGUUAUCUAAACACUAAUGGAGCCUCAGCUUGCCAGGCAUCCUGCAACACUGCCAGCU